GAUGAACGCUGGCGGCGUGCCUAAUACAUGCAAGUCGAGCGAAUGGAUUAAGAGCUUGCUCUUAUGAAGUUAGCGGCGGACGGGUGAGUAACACGUGGGUAACCUGCCCAUAAGACUAGGAUAAUUCCGGGAAACCGGGGCUAAUACCGGAUAACAUUUUGAACCGCAUGGUUCGAAAUUGAAAGGCGGCUUCGGCUGUCACUUAUGGAUGGACCCGCGUCGCAUUAGCUAGUUGGUGAGGUAACGGCUCACCAAGGCAACGAUGCGUAGCCGACCUGAGAGGGUGAUCGGCCACACUGGGACUGAGACACGGCCCAGACUCCUACGGGAGGCAGCAGUAGGGAAUCUUCCGCAAUGGACGAAAGUCUGACGGAGCAACGCCGCGUGAGUGAUGAAGGCUUUCGGGUCGUAAAACUCUGUUGUUAGGGAAGAACAAGUGCUAGUUGAAUAAGCUGACACCUUGACGGUACCUAACCAGAAAGCCACGGCUAACUACGUGCCAGCAGCCGCCGCAG
rnacentral:rRNA from 1 species